rnacentral:rRNA from 1 species
CCUACGGGUGGCAGCAGCUAGGAAUUUUCCGCAAUGGGCGCAAGCCUGACGGAGCGACGCCGCGUGCAUGAUGAAUGCCUUAUGGGUUGUAAAGUGCUUUUGUCAGGGAGGAUGGCAUCUCUACAGGAGAUGUUGACGUUACCUGGCGAAUAAGCUCCGGCUAAAUCCGUGCCAGCAGCCGCGGUAAUACGGAUGGAGCGAGCGUUGUUCGGAAUUAUUGGGCGUAAAGGGAGCGUAGGUGGCUCGAUAAGUGGGACUUCUCAACACUCGGCUCAACCGGGUGAUCGGUUCCAAACUGUCAAGCUGGAGUCCGCUAGAGGAUACUGGAAUUCCGGGUGUAGGGGUGAAAUCUAUAGAGAUCCGGAGGAACACCGAUGGCGAAGGCAGGUAUCUGGGGCUGGACUGACACUGAGGCUCGAAAGCCAGGGUAGCAAACGGGA